GACGAACGCUGGCGGCGUGCCUGAUACAUGCAAGUCGAGCGAAUGACGAGAAGCUUGCUUCUCUGAUUUAGCGGCGGACGGGUGAGUAACACGUGGGCAACCUGCCCUACAGAUCGGGAUAACUCAGGGAAACCUGGGCUAAUACCGGAUAAUCCUUCGAAUCACAUGUUUUGAAGUUGAAAGGCGCUUCGGCGUCACUGUAGGAUGGGCCCGCGGUGCAUUAGCUAGUUGGUGGGGUAACGGCUUACCAAGGCAACGAUGCAUAGCCGACCUGAGAGGGUGAUCGACCACAGUGGGACUAAGACACGGCCCAAACUCCGACGGGAGGCAGCAGUAGGGAAUCUUCCACAAUGGACGAAAGUCUGAUGGAGCAACGCCGCGUGAGUGAUGAAGGUUUUCGGAUCGUAAAACUCUGUUGUAAGGGAAGAACAAGUACGUUAGGAAAUGAACGUACCUUGACGGUACCUUAUUAGAAAGCCACGGCUAACUACGUGCCAGCAGCAGCCGCCGUAA
rnacentral:rRNA from 1 species